CUGUCUUUUUUUUUUCCUCAAAUCUCUUCCUUAAUCUUAUAAUUCUACAGCUUUAAGUGGGGGUGGUUGCUGAGACAGACACAGGAAAUGCUUUGAGCUGCUGAAACUUAGCAUUUUUCAGCAGUAGAUCUCAGCCCCGGGCAUUUGCUGUUUUGGGACUGACUUGUGUGAGGUGGCAGUAAUGGAGAGGUGUCUUAUGUGUUUCCUAGUUGUUCAUUUCACCCCUCCCUAGGUGUUUAGGUAGAACGCACAGAGUGUUCUUUGGCUGUGUGGGCAUGCUCAGAUGGUCCCAGAGUGUCCCGUUCUGCCGUAUGACAGGGCUGCUUCAGUGCAGAGUAAAUGUCAUCCUCACUCUCUCAGGCUAAGUAGUUCUCCAAAAAUAAGUGUUUGCUUCAGAGAACGAGAGUUUCCUUUUGCCUUUGGCAGCUUGGGGAAAGCUUGGGUUAAAUUUGAAGAUACCAGGCAUGCAUAACCAAUAACAAUUAGGAUUAAAGCCAUUUGAAAUAUUUCUCACAUUAAAAAAACAAAAACAAAACGGUUCUUAUUACUCAGCUACUUGUUUUUUUGUGUAUUUUUCCCAAAGAUUUGGCAGUUUUCUGAAUUGUAAGGUGGUAUGCACGUAUUUUGGUACUAUGCCUCCAGAUCAGUGGAGCAAGUCCCUGAGAUUAACUGGAUGGGAGGGUGAUCCAGCUUCACAGUGAAUCCACCAUUUUCACAUCUCAUCCACAGUCCCUGACUGUAUACAAAAUGUGGCUGACAGCUGUAGUUUAUCAUGAUUUUUUGGUGUGUUGUGGGUUUAUAAAUAGUACAUAGAUCUUCUCUAAGAGAUACAUGCUGAAGCACACAGGUUCUGUGCAGUUUUACCUGAUCCUAAAGCAUUCUGUUUCUUGUGAGCCACUGUAUUUUAAAAUAGAUUUUUCACUCUGAAGUUUGAUGAUAAGUCACUCUGCUCUUCCUUAUGGCUGAUCACUUUAAAUGCCAGCUUUAUUAACAGAUUUGUACUUCUGCUCUCCCCCACCCCCUUUUCCCCUGUUGUUUGUUCUGUAUCUUGGAUUUUAAAACCCUGGCACAUCUCUGUUUGUUCUGAGGUUAUAAAAGGUCAGUUUCCUUAUCUAUGUUUUAUUAAGAGUGCAAUCCCAGGUUGAAUGGGGUGUUCAGAAGAAAAGAAUUCAUAGGCCAGCCCUGAAAGGACAGGGGGUGGAGACUGAUAGUAAAACAGAAGUUAACUCCUUUUUCUCCAUUAUUGACAGUCCAAAAAGAGGAGGAAAAUGUAAAACGUAAUCUGAAUAUUUUUAAUUGAUGUUGUUUUGUCUAUUUAUUGCCUUAAUCCAUGAGUAGAGAAAAGCUUGCCAAAAUCGCUUAGUACCUGAGUGAAUGAUUUUAGAUUAAACUUGCUUCUCUACCCGUGUCUCUCACUGACCCAAAGUAUUCAUCAAAUCUGCGAAAGUGAAAGUCUCUCAGUUGUGUCCAACUCUUUGCGACCCCAUGGACUAUACAGUCCAUGGAAUUCUCCAGGCCAGAAUACUGGAGUGGGUAGCCUUUCCAUUCUCCAGGGGAUCUUCCCAACCCAGGGAUCGAACCCAGGUCUCCCGCAUUGCAGGGGGAUUCUUUACCAGCUGAGCCACAAGGAUCCUCUCAUUGAAACAAUGAUUAAAAUGUUCAGAAAAGAGGUAUUUGCUCUAGCUUCUGAAAUUCUUCACAUGACUCUCUGGAUACAUCAAACUGCUGUAGAUAGGGGUUUAUGUAUAACCUCUUUGCAUGAUGUUGCAACACACUUUAUGAAAACUGCAGGAUAAACAUUUUAAAGGCGCAAAACUCUAGAGGGGAAAACAUAUCUGAUUCUAGGAAAGAAUUGGAGAGUCUUAGGAAGUGGGAUAUGACAGAAUGCAUUGCUUAUAUGUUGAAGUUAUGUUUGUGUUUUAAAUAUUACACAAGAUAAUAUUCCCAAAUGUUGACUUAAAGAUGAAUAAUUUGCUUUUUCCUUCCUUAAUGACCCUGCAACAACACACAUCUAUAUAAAUUGCCUUGAUUUUCUGUACAGAUGCCCAGAAUUUGUUGUGAUAAUUAUUUGGUUCUGUGCAGAUGCUAUCUGUGUCAUUUAAACAGUUGUUAUUUACACUGGACUGUAACUUUAUUAAAUGGUGGACUUUCAAAUGAUAACACUCCCCUCCCAUCUCAACUGCAGCUUGACCAACUCUCAUCGUUUGGUGGGGCUCAGAGCGCUACAUAAAGGUCAGAUUCCCUAGGAACAGUGCCUAUGGAACAAUGCAAAGAUCUGCCCACAUUAUUUUGUAAUUGUGGGAUUUCUUUGUAACUGACUUUCAUUCGAAAGGAAUAGCUAGAACGGUGAUUUCAGUGGUGGAUGAGAAGUGUACAGCAUGGCAACAGAGGACUGGCAGUGCAGCGUCUCCCUACUCCCAGUGCUCAAAAUGCUUUCCUUCUCCUCCAGAGAAUGUUUUACAUCCCUUAAGACCGUGAGAAGAAAAAUAGGUUGAGAACUCUGACUUAAUGCUUAAGAACAUUCGUCAUUGAUUAUUUUAAUUCAGGCCAGAAAUUACUGUAUGCCAGAGUUCCAGUAUAUCCUAUCUGAAACAGAGGGUGGUGUAGACUGAUCAUUUGUUCACUGAACAAACAGUUGCUGGAGAAUCUGCUUUCUAUCAGAGUUUGGGAGUUGAGAUGGCUCUCUGCCCUCAUGCAGCUUCCAUUCUGGUUGGGGAAGAUAACGACAAGUAAUAAGGCUAAUAAGUAAAUGAGGCAUAUGUUGGAGAGGUAUGGGCUAUAGUCCCAGUCCUGCCAGAACCAGAUGGGAACUUGGGGAUUCAGUUAACAUGCCAGAGCUUUUAUUCCUCACUUGUAAAAUAAGGCUACUUCACAAGACAGCUUCUCAAGAUCGUUAGAUUCUAGGACGUUUCAGAAUAUAUGUGUAUAGACAUGUAUAGAUUGGUUUUAAAAAUAAAGUGACACGUUUUCCUGUGACUCUCAGAAAUGGUCAGAGACACUGGUCUCAAACUUAUUUUUCUGUUUCUAGGCAGUUAAAGGAGCUAAAAAGCAAUUUCUUAACUGAUUAUUACUCAGUUACAAACUACUCAUAGAAGAUCAAUGAAGGCGUUUACUGGACUUAAACUUGUACUACUAGUACAGAGGAAAAUCUGGAUUUAGACAAAAUUUUGUAACGCUGGAUAGGGCUUACUAUAGUAGUAGAGAUGUUCUGAAGACAGGAUAUCUAGAUUUCAGCAGUACAUUCAACAGAGUUCUUCAUGGUAUCUUUUGAGGGGAGGAAAUUAUAAUUGAUUCUUCAUAACUGAGUCAGUGAAUGAAAGAGUGAAGAUUACUAACUUGGAUAAACACCAUCCUGGAACACGGUCUCUGAUGGAUUGCUGCAAAGUGCUUCCGGUCCUCUUCAACCUCUUCAUUAAUCCGUCACUAAUGACAUUGCUGUACUUAGUCAGGGUUGAAGAUGUCAAGCAGCUGAAAAGAGUAAUUAAAAUUGUGAGCUGUAAAGUUGGAAUUCAGUGGUAUUCUCAGAUGUAAAGCAGAAGUCACCACAUUAUAUGAUUCAGCUGUACCACAUUUAUGUGAUUUAUGGAAAGGUCAGCUGUUCUUAACACCAUUUUCAAUUAUAGAGAAAACAAACCAAAGAACUGCAUUAGAUGCUGUGAGUAGGUUCUCUGGCAGUCUCUUAACUCAAAGUAAUUUAGAUCCUCUAGCAAAAAGGAAGUCUUUACCUAGUGGGAUCUUAAUUAACCUAAACCAGACAAAGCUCUUGUUACAUUACAAUAUAUUUUAAGAAUUAGGUUGUCUUCGUCAUUCUUUAAAAUUAAAAUUCUGGAAAAGAAGCAUUAUUAAUAUUACCCUAACAUUAGGAUGUUAUAACAGAAACAUUGUUGUUGAUAUAAUUACAACAUAAAACACCCUGAGAGAAAACAGAGUUCCUAGUAGUUGAAAAGAAUACAAGAGGUGCCUAACAAUAUUCCCAUCUCAAUGUUGUUCACAAAAAGCCACCGAAAGAACAUUUGUUAUCAAUUGGUCAUGAGCAAAUUUGUUUCAUUAAAGUUUUCCCCUUAAUAUGCAAGACAAAGCACUAAGUUACUAGGAAUUUUAAUUAGGACUUUUCCUUUCCUACUCCCUAGAUUAAAGGGCUGCAAAUUCUAUAAUACCAUAUAAAGCCUUCAGUUCAGUUCAGUCGCUCAGUCAUGUCCGACUCUUUGUGACCCCAUGGACUGCAGCACGCCAGGCUUCCCUGUCCAUCACCAACUCCUGGAGUUUGCUCAAACUCAUGUCCAUCGAGUCGGUGAUGCCAUCCAACCAUCUCAUCCUCUGUUGUCCCCUUCUCCUGCCUUCAAUCUUUCCCAGCAGUCAGGGUCUUUUCCAAUGAAUCAGUUCUUCCCAUCAGUGGCCAGAGUAUUGGAGCUUCAGCUUCAGCAUCAGUCCUUCCAAUGAAUAUUCAGGACUGAUUCCCUUUAAAAUUGACUGGUUUGAUCUCCUUGCAGUCCAGGGUACCCUCAAGAGUCUUCUUCAACACCACAGUUUAAAAGCAUCAAUUCUUCAGUGCUCAGCCCUCUUUAUAAAGUCUUAGCAGUCAUCUAAACUCUAGUUAAAAUUAAUUUUGACUGUAACAUAGUUUAAACAAUUAAUUUUUAUCAAAUCAUUAGAAGAUAAAAAGUAAUUUUGUCAGAAAAUAUUCUUGGGAAGAUGGAAUAUGUUUUUUUUCCUGAGUGUGCCAAAGUCAAGAACAAACUAGAGACAGUUCCAUAUUGAUUUUUCUAAAUAAUGGCUUGAGAACAGAGGUCUUCUACAGUUAUUGUUUCUUGAUCUUACAUGAGAACUCUGUCUCCAAAUUUUAAUUGUGAAUGAUUUCACCCCCAUUUCUAGUAAAUUUCACUUAAAUACUGGGUAGACUAUCUUUUUGGGACUUCCAAGGUGGUACAGUGUAAAGAAUCACCUGCCAACACAGGAGACGCAGGUUAAAUCCCUGGGCUGGGAAGAUUCCCUGGAGUAGGAAAUGGCAACCCACUCCAGUAUCUUGCCUGGAAAAUCCCAUGGACAGAGGAGCCUGAUGGACUAGUCUGUGGGGUUGCAAAGAGUCAGACAUGACUGAGCGUACACAGACUACCUUCUAAGGUCUCUUACAACUCUGGCUUGGAAUUCUGUGGAGAAAAAAGUUUCGUUAACUCUGCUUUUUAUGUGCUUGUGGAAUAUCAGAAACUAAGUCAAUCCUUAAAGGACUAAAAUUAAUUCAUAAGCAAACACUGUCAAGCAAUCAGAGGUGGCUCUGUAAAACAUUGAAUACAAAAAAAUGGAAGAUUCCAGUUCAGAAACUAGCCACAACUGUCUGUAGAUUCAAAUAUAACAUAAGCAUGUAUUGGAGGUGAUAUGAUGUUAUAUUCUUAUUCCUUAUGUAUUAAUUCACUGGACAUUUAUUGAGCCUACAUUAUAAGCUGCAAUAAACCAUAAUGGAAAAGAAUAUGAAAAAGAAUGUAUACAUAUACAACUGAAUCACUUUGCUGAACACUAGAAGCUGACACAACAUUGUAAAUCAGCUAUGCUUCAAUUAAACAUUUUUAAUAGAAUAAAAUAAAUUAGUAUCUGAAGGGACAUUAAUUCUCUAUACUUCCUUUGUUAGAACAUAUUUAUUGACUUUGGUAGAAGAUGUCCUAUUAUCUUCCUUGUCUUCUUCCUUUUCCCCUCUGUGAUUAUAAUAAGAAUACCACUGCUGUGUGUACAUCUACUGUAUACACGUUGAACCAGUUCACUGAAGCUCUAGGAGUGAGUUGUUUCCGAACUUUAACUUUGUGAACCUGUGCUUAUUCUAUUUUUCAAGAUCAGUGCAGAUUCUUAAUCAGCCAUUUUGACAGCCAUUAUCCUGAUGUGAGUCUUUGACCUCAGCAAGACUUGUUCUUCACUUACACACUGUUCCCAUUUAAUGUAAACACACUUGAGCCAAAGGACGUAAAUAUUUGGCUUCAUAUUUGUCAUACAUUAAAUGUUGACACUAGUUAUGGAAAUACCUCUAGGACAUCCUUUUUGGAUCAGAGUUGCACUUUUUCAGUUAAUUGCCUCGAAUAGCAAGGCAGGUAACCUGGUUAAUUUCUAAAGAAGGCCAGUGCCUGUAUUCUUUUCCUAAAACCUCAUAAUUCUGGUAUUGGCUUUGGCACUAAUUUUGUUGCUCUCCUUUCUGAACUAAUUGGUUCUAAGCAGUAAAAGAAAGCGCUUGCCUUAUUUAGAGGUUCUUAUGACUAUACUAAUCUCAAAAGAUUUUAAACUCCUUUACAGUUACUGUCUUUGUCACUUUUCUGCUCCCCCGCCCACUGGCUGGUUAUGAGGGGUUGCUUUUGCAUAGAGAAAGCCGCUGAAGUCAAACAAAACCUCCCUCUUACUGAAUCCCAGUGGGAGCUUACUACAAUUAAAGACUUUAGGUGAACCCAUAACCUGCUGGAGGAGGGCAGGAAAAGAGACUCCUUGGGGAGUGCACAGCCAGCUGAUGUGACAGAUCUUGAUUUGACUUUAGUACCUCCCUUCCAAAUCUAUCCUCUGCUUUCUGCUAUUAUAGACAGCAACUGAUUUAUUAGAUUUAUCAUUUUUCUUCUUCGAUUCAGCUUUCCUUUUCCCCAUCUUUGGCCACUUUGGGAAAAGUUUAUCCAGCCAGUCAUCAGGCAUCAGCAUCAAGAAGGUCAGUCAAAUUAGAUGCUUUACAGAACAAAGUUCCUCAGUCUUUGGACGUUUUUCCCCAGUGGAUCCUUCAUGAAGUAUCGCGAAGGGUGAAAAAGAGGGAGAACUUUAGGCAUUUUGUCCAAAAAAUUAAGUAAUAUCCAUGAGGUCUUAGAGCUGAGAUAGGUUUUAAUAAUAGAGCAAAGCCUCUAGAAUUAGUCUUGGUUUAUGUUGAGGGUAUCUUUUGUCUGGGAUUUGCUUCCAAAUCAUUGCAUGGGAGGGAGGAAAGACCAGCCAUGAGUUAAUAAUUAAGGCUGGGUAAAGUGUACAGGAUUCAGUAUCCUCUCUACUUUUACACAUAUUUGAAAUGUUGGAUAACAAAGAAGUUUUUAUUUAUUUAUUUUUUUUAACAUGUGUGUAUCAUUUUAUUUCAUUGUCAAAAAUGAUGUUUUAUAAUUAUUCACUUGACAAAUGAAAAACAAUGUGGCAACAUCCAAGAACAAAGAAGUUUUUAAAAGACAUCUUUCCCCAAGAGUUUUAGAAGGAUAAAAUCUAUUUCCUGUAAAUUUUCAGCAUUCCCCCCAGUACUCAACAGUGUUGAACACAGUAAAAAGACUGUUGUAGGUUUGUAUUACUGAGGGAAAAAAAUAUUUUCUUGUCAGAUAAAUUCUGAAUUUAGUAGGGGUUUUUAUUAUUAUUUUUGUUUUAUUUCCAGAUUAUUGUGUUUAUACUACAAUGUUUAAAAGUAUUUCAUAAAUUAGAUUCUAGUGAAACUUGUGUUCACCUUUGUUUCUUUCUAAGGGCAUAUUCAGUAAACUUUAAUCAGUGUUGAGAAGUCUGAAAACUAGUCAAUGAAAAACAGUUUUAAACUGUUUCUUUGGGACUUCUCUGGUGGUCUAAUGGUUAAGAAUCCGCCUGCCAAUGCAGGGGACACAGGUUCAAUCGCUGGUUGGGGAAGAUCCCACAUGCCCUGGAGCAACUGAGUUCGCGGGCCACAACCACUGAGCCUCCACUCCAGAGCUCCUGCCCUGCAACAAGAGAAGCCACUGCAAUGAAAAGCCCACUCACAGCAAUUAGAGGAAGCCCAGGCACAGCAGUGAAGACCCAGCACAGCCAAAAAUAGUAAAUAAAGCUAAAAAAAAAAAAAAAGAGGUUUGUUUGUAAAGUAACAUUUGAACAUUUUUAAAGGAAACUUUUUGUGUUAUCAGUAAAAUAUCCCUGAUAUGUCUUUGGAUGGUAUUUAGUAAAGGAGCCUGUUUUCUGUCUGGGUCCUAAUUUGACUUUACUGCUAAAUGCCGAUUGAAUCCUCAGUGUCUUCUAUUUUGUCAAGUUGAUCACGCUUAUUCAAAUAUCUAUGCCAGUUGAGAUGCUGUAACUUUGAUCUAAAGCAAGGAUUGUUUUUGUUGUUGUUGUUCAAUUGCUAGGUCAUAUCCUACUCUUUGCAGCUCCGUGGACUGUAGCCCUUCAGGCUUCCCUGUCGUGCACCAUCUCCCAGAGUUUGCUCAAACUCAUGUCUGUUGAUUCAGUGAUGCCAUCUCAACCUCUUUUGCCCACUUCUCCUGCCCUCAGUCUCCUAGCAUCAGGAUCUUUUCCAGUGAGUCGGCUCUUCACAUCAGGUGGCCAUCAGUCCUUCCAGUGAAUAUUCAGGACUGAUUUCCUUUAGGAUGGACUGGUUGGAUCUCCUUGGAGUCCAAGGGACUCUCAAGAGUCUUCUCCAACACCAUGGUUCAAAAGCAUCAAUUCUUCGGUGCUCAGGUUUCUUCAUGGUCCAGCUCUCACUUCCAUACAUGACCACUGGAAAAACCAUAGCUCUGACUAUACGGACCUUUGCCCACAAAGUGAUGUGUCUGCUUUUAAUAUGCUGCCUGGGUUUGUGAAGCAAGGAUUAGCAAGCUUUCUUUUUUCUUUGUAAAGGACCAGAUAAUAGAUAGUUUAGGCUUUGAGAGCCACAAGAGUACUCUAAUUCUUUUAGUUUUUUUGUUUUUGUUCUUAAAACUCUAAAAAUUUAGAGGUCUUUUGUAAGAGCCUUGUUAAAACAGACAGAAUUAGACAGUUGAUUUUUAAUUAGAUGCUUUACAAAAAUAAAAACUACAGAUUCAAAUGUUAAAGGUUUUAUUCAAAGGAAAAAUUGUGACUCUCAUACAAAAUGAACAUGUGUCAAAGAUUUUAUUUGUCUCACUAAUUCACCAAUUAUUAGGAAGCAGUAAGAUAUUAAAAUGAGAAUUGGACUUAAGGAAGUUUAUAUUCUCUACCAGACAAAAUUGAUCUGUAUUUCAUCACCAGCACUGUGCACAAGCACAGAGUCCUUCCUCCCUG